GAAACCUCCAUUUUCUAAGGCCUUUCAGCUGAUUGGAUGUGGUCCACCCAUGUUAUUGAAGAUAAUAUUUUUUAAGGCUUCCUCCUUGGAGGGACCUCAGAAGUCCCAGGCUUCAUAGUGUCAAGUUCAACAGAAAGAGUAGUUUUCAUCUUUCCACAGUUCUUAGAAAAGUCCUGAGACUGAGUUUUACUGGGCAAUGUCAGUUUAGUAAAAGGGACAGGAUGUUAGCAAAGGAAGGCAUUACCAGCAAUAAGAAGUGAUAGCUGCCACGGGAAGCAAAUGCAGAAACAGCAGCCUGGGCUGUUCCAUGCAGGGGAGUUCAGCUCAGGUGGGCAAAACCAGAUAACUAACAUGAACAGUGGAACAAUCAGUGAACCAAUACAAGGGUUAAAUAAGCUAGCAAUUAAAAGCUGUAUCACUGGUCUAAAGAUAGAAGAUCAAGUAGAAAAUCAGCGCAAGAGGAAAGAUAUACGAAAACUAAUGACCUUCAAGGUUUGGCUGAACAGCUGAACUGCAGGAUGGAUUGGAAUGCCUAGAACCAGAAACUUAGGAUGCCUAGAACCAGAAACUCAGCCAUUGCUGAGGUUCACUGCUUCUCAGCGCUGCUGCUUUAUACACACAAACUGUAUUCUCUCCCACUGUUUUGUCUUCUUUCAUAAAGCAGGAAACAUAGGUGCUCAUAACUUGUGAGUUUUAAGUCUUACUCUAGAGUUUACAAAUGCAAAUGCCUCUA
rnacentral:lncRNA from 10 species